rnacentral:rRNA from 1 species
UACGGGGGGGAGCAGUCGUUGUCGGAUUUACUGGGCGUAAAGGGCGCGUAGGCGGCGCAACAAGUCACUUGUGAAAUCUCCGGGCUUAACCCGGAGCGGCCAAGUGAUACUGUCGUGCUAGAGUGCGGAAGGGGCUACUGGAAUUCUCGGUGUAGCGGUGAAAUGCGUAGAUAUCGGGAGGAACACCGUGGCGAAGGCGACUACCUGGCCUGUUCUUGACGCUGAGGCGCGAAAGCUAGGGGAGCAAACGGG